rnacentral:rRNA from 1 species
CUGGCUCAGGAUGAACGCUAGCUACAGGCUUAACACAUGCAAGUCGAGGGGCAGCAUGGUCUUAGCUUGCUAAGGCCGAUGGCGACCGGCGCACGGGUGAGUAACACGUAUCCAACCUGCCGUCUACUCUUGGACAGCCUUCUGAAAGGAAGAUUAAUACAAGAUGGCAUCAUGAGUCCGCAUGUUCACAUGAUUAAAGGUAUUCCGGUAGACGAUGGGGAUGCGUUCCAUUAGAUAGUAGGCGGGGUAACGGCCCACCUAGUCUUCGAUGGAUAGGGGUUCUGAGAGGAAGGUCCCCCACAUUGGAACUGAGACACGGUCCAAACUCCUACGGGAGGCAGCAGUGAGGAAUAUUGGUCAAUGGGCGAGAGCCUGAACCAGCCAAGUAGCGUGAAGGAUGACUGCCCUAUGGGUUGUAAACUUCUUUUAUAAAGGAAUAAAGUCGGGUAUGCAUACCCGUUUGCAUGUACUUUAUGAAUAAGGAUCGGCUAACUCCGUGCCAGCAGCCGCGGUAAUACGGAGGAUCCGAGCGUUAUCCGGAUUUAUUGGGUUUAAAGGGAGCGUAGAUGGAUGUUUAAGUCAGUUGUGAAAGUUUGCGGCUCAACCGUAAAAUUGCAGUUGAUACUGGAUAUCUUGAGUGCAGUUGAGGCAGGCGGAAUUCGUGGUGUAGCGGUGAAAUGCUUAGAUAUCACGAAGAACUCCGAUUGCGAAGGCAGCCUGCUAAGCUGCAACUGACAUUGAGGCUCGAAAGUGUGGGUAUCAAACAGGAUUAGAUACCCUGGUAGUCCACACGGUAAACGAUGAAUACUCGCUGUUUGCGAUAUACUGCAAGCGGCCAAGCGAAAGCGUUAAGUAUUCCACCUGGGGAGUACGCCGGCAACGGUGAAACUCAAAGGAAUUGACGGGGGCCCGCACAAGCGGAGGAACAUGUGGUUUAAUUCGAUGAUACGCGAGGAACCUUACCCGGGCUUAAAUUGCAGAUGAAUUACGGUGAAAGCCGUAAGCCGCAAGGCAUCUGUGAAGGUGCUGCAUGGUUGUCGUCAGCUCGUGCCGUGAGGUGUCGGCUUAAGUGCCAUAACGAGCGCAACCCUUGUUGUCAGUUACUAACAGGUUCCGCUGAGGACUCUGACAAGACUGCCAUCGUAAGAUGUGAGGAAGGUGGGGAUGACGUCAAAUCAGCACGGCCCUUACGUCCGGGGCUACACACGUGUUACAAUGGGGGGUACAGAGGGCCGCUACCACGCGAGUGGAUGCCAAUCCCCAAAACCUCUCUCAGUUCGGACUGGAGUCUGCAACCCGACUCCACGAAGCUGGAUUCGCUAGUAAUCGCGCAUCAGCCACGGCGCGGUGAAUACGUUCCCGGGCCUUGUACACACCGCCCGUCAAGCCAUGGGAGCCGGGGGUACCUGAAGUGCGUAACCGCGAGGAGCGCCCUAGGGUAAAACUGGUGACUGGGGCUAAG